AAGUCGUAACAAGGUUUCCGUAGGUGAACCUGCGGAAGGAUCAUUAUCAUAACGUAUCCACGUAUAAACCAACUUUAAAUUGAUGUGAAACGUAACUGUUUUAACACCUCGAGAUAAUCAGAUGAUUGCUAUACUUUACAUUGUUUGCGUGAUUAAAGCAAAAACGGUUUAGUAUGGACCUGUGCCUGUAACAAGGUGCUAGCGCUGAUUAUUUGGAGUGUAAAAAAUUUAAUCAACUAUUAACCCAUUGAACCGAAUUACUAUAUUCUUAACUGAGUUUAGUUAUUCAUUUUAAUUUCUAUUGUGUGAACUGAAUUGUCUACUUACUUGACACCGUCAUUGGUGGAGAGAAGUCGAUUAUAUUUACGAAACAUUAUAAAUUUCUAUGAACAACUCUUAGCAACGGAUAUCUUGGUUCUC
rnacentral:misc_RNA from 1 species